rnacentral:rRNA from 1 species
UGAGCAAUCUGCCCUUCUCUUCGGAAUAAGCGUUGGAAACGACGUCUAAUGCCGAAUACGACCUCCUUUCGCAUGAUCGGAGGUGGAAAGCUCCGGCGGAGAAGGAUGAGCUCGCGGCCUAUCAGCUAGUUGGUGUGGGUAAUGGCCCACCAAGGCGACGACGGGUAGCCGGCCUGAGAGGGUGACCGGCCACACUGGGACUGAGACACGGCCCAGACUCCUACGGGAGCAGCAGG